GCUGGAUCGAGAUCGAGGCCGUUGGCCCCUAUGUCCUCUCCAUCUGCCUCCUAGGCCGUCGCCUUGUUUGCUUACCCGCUGCGCUCGCCGGAUACUAUCAUCCCCCUCUGCCGCGCCUCCCUGUCCAUCUUGCGCCGCCUCUCCCCUCCCCAACCAGUCGUGCAAGCAAAAACGGAUCAACGGCGGCAGCCUGCUGCUUCAGCCCCGGGUGGAGGAGGCGGACGCGGCAGCGGUCAACCCAUCCCCGCCGGCCAAGAAGCUGAAGAGGAUGCCGGCUGUAGCAUCCCGGCCACCUCCCCUGCCCCAGCGUGCACGGGCGGCCGACAUCACUUUCGACGCUUGGUUGAUGCACAAGAUGUGUUCAACGAAUUGCCGGCGAGGUUUAGUUUGCUCGUGGCAAAGGUUGCUCGAGUCUGAGCUCACUCUGCACACAUGCUUUGCAGAAAGCUUGCAGUUUUAUGGGAAACAUGCUGGUGCUCGAUGAUCUCCAUGUUUUGCUGCUCUCAUGGCAGCUGUUUGUUAUCCUGUUAAUCAGAUAUGUAGAGAGGAGACCUUGCAACUUCAGUAAUUGAACCUGAUUUCAAUAAUGCAGCUUGUGCUACCUACGUUAGCUGCUGAUUAUAGAGGGGAGGCACAUCGAUUGCAAUCUUUGUUCGAUGCUGUGUUGAUAGCAAAUGUGUGAAAACUGAACUGUGGCUUGGUUGUGACAUUCUGAGUUUUCUGUACAUGCUAUCAUUUUUGGAAUUAUCUUCCUUCUCGUAUGAACAAAAAAUAAAGGAGCGUAUUUGCUAAUAAUUGCAGGUGUGUUUUCUAUAACUAGACA